rnacentral:rRNA from 1 species
GGUGUAGGCGGUGAGGUAAGUCGGGUGUGAAAUCCCUGGGCCCAACCCAGGAACUGCACUCGAAACUGCCCCACUAGAGUUCCGGAGAGGGUGGCGGAAUUCCCGGUGUAGAGGUGAAAUUCGUAGAUAUCGGGAGGAACACCAGUGGCGAAGGCGGCCACCUGGACGGUGACUGACGCUCAGACCCGAAAGCGUGGGGAGCAAACA